GGAAGCUGAACGUGCACACUUAACCGCUGCACCACCGGGCCGGCCCAAUGCAUGUUUAUUUUUUUUUAGUGGACCCAGGGUCCCCUUCAUGACCUCAUCCCCCUUCCGUGUCCCCGUCUCCCCCACACCCACCCCAGCCCCGACCCCAACCCAUGGCGUCUCCAGGAAUGCGUCUUUCCCUCCAUAGACAGAGUCACAUAGCCUCCCAGCCGGGGUCUGUUCCCCGUCUUAUAGAUUAUAGACUUUUCGAAGCCCACGAGGGCGUGCGUUCCUGUCCGCACGCGAUGAAAAGAAAUAUGCAACGGCCCCGGGGUCUGGUUCUGCCAGGUUGCCCACCCCGGCGGUCUGCGUGAGAGUGUCCACGCAGGUGGUGAGCCUCCCAUAUCAGCCGGCGGCCUCUCCCUGAGCCCCGAGCGUCCCGUGCGCUCUGCUCUGGCAGUCGCUGCGUCUCACCUUCCUUGCUUCCUUCCUUCCUUCUCGCCCCGCAGACCCCGGAGGAGGGAGCCUGGACCUCCGUCUACGCGGCCGUCGCCCCGGCCCUGGAAGGGGUCGGCGGCCGCUACCUUUACAACGAGAAGGAGACCCGGUCGCUCGCCAUCACCUAAGACCUGAAGCUUCAGCGACAGCUGUGGGCCAGGAGCUGCCAGAUGACCGGCAUCCCGGACGGGACGGGGGGCGUCUUCCCGGCAUCGCUGCCACGGCAGGAGGAAUAGGCGUUCAGGUCCAGGCAACUCAUCCUCCAUCAGCACGAAGGCCACUCUCUACGCCCUGGAAGUGGGCCCGUGGGCGGGCGAGUCCUUGGGGUUCCUUCCAGUUGGCUCCUAUAGGAGUUCAACCUGGCCCCCCCAAAACACACGUCUGCGUCCCAACCCCCACGACCCGUGAAUGUGAUCCCGUUUGGAAAAAGGAUCAUUGUGGAUGUCCUGAAGACCUCACGACGGGGAGAUCAUCCCGGUUCAUCCACAUGGACCCACCCGCCAGGCAAGGACGGUUCGAUCGUCUCUCUGAGGAUGGGUAUCGAGUCCUCAACACCCAACAUGGAGAGAUGACCCGUUUCUGGAGGGGUUCCCAUGCGCCCCGCAGCCCCCCGAUCGUAAGAUUCCACGCCGCUCAGAGACGCUUCUCAGGAGCUAAUGGAAUCGCAUGGACGGCGGGCCUCCCUGGACACUGUGGCCACCGGAUGAUUUCCUGCUCUCCCGUCCGUGUUGUGAUGCUUUAAUAAGAUGCUUUACAAAUGUAUUCAUCCAGCAUUUUCAAUUGGUUUCAGCAGGAGCGUUGGGUCAAAUGACCUAAUCUUCCACGUUGCCAGAAAUAGAACUCAUAUUAAAAGACUUCAGCAUGACGGAUUAAGAAGACAAGAAGAGAAGAAGGAUUUAAAUUAUAUAACACAAGGAAAAUCUCCUGGGUGCAUAGGCAAAUCCGUAUCCAUAAAAAAUAAAUUAUGUUUUCAAACCA
rnacentral:lncRNA from 1 species